UUUUGCUAAAAUUUUUGCUAAUACUUAAGAUUAUUAAAAGAACAAAAAAUACCCUUUUCGUAUUAUUUAGUUUCAUCUUUUUCAAGCGUUGGGUUUGGCAAUGUCGCGACUCGCUACAUUGUAUUGUAAAGUAAAGUGGAGCAGACUACAAAUUCGCAAUUCAAGACUUUCAAGUAGUAAUGUUUCUAAGUUUCUGAUUUCAUGGAUUGAAAAACGGCCUUCACGACAAAUCGGUCGAUGCUGUAAUGAAGGGAAAGAUUUGGUUAAAAAGUAAUGGGGAAAAUGCUGGUAGUGUUACAAUUUCUGAUUCGCUGUUACAACUUUCUAAAACAGUGAAAACCAAUGCUGCCAUUGUAAGUUCUGAUUCUGAUUAGCAAGCAAUAUCUCACGCUUUGAAUCCUGUGAUCGUAGUUUAUUGUUUUGCUUGAUUGUUCGUUCCUGUAUUUUUACUAAUGUAAACUUGGAAAUAAUGUCUAACAGUUUCAAAGAAAAACUUGUUUUUAAUAAAGAAAGUCUGCAAUGAGUGAUUUCGAUUUUUUAUGUAUAUAAUUUUGGCUAAAUUUUUGGCUAUUUUGAAAAUUAUAUUUGGCCAUAAUUGGCCAUAUCUGGCAUCGUCGAAGGCCAGAUGAAAAAACUCGGAGUGGAAGCACUGUAGCGAGGUGACACACAUGAAAAUGCAAUCAGUCAUUGAUUUCCACUUGGCAUAGUCUACCUUGACUUGAAAGUCAGGAACAGAGCAACGAAAAACAGCCGUACUGCCACGACGAACUCGAGGAUUCUCGACGUUGACCUCGAAUGGCGGCAAAAUCACUUUUUUGGCGCCAAAA